GAACGAACGCUGGCGGCAGGCCUAACACAUGCAAGUCGAGCGCGCCCUUCGGGGUGAGCGGCGGACGGGUUAGUAACGCGUGGGAACGUACCCAGAUCUAAGGAAUAGCCACUGGAAACGGUGAGUAAUACCUUAUACGCCCUUCGGGGGAAAGAUUUAUCGGAUUUGGAUCGGCCCGCGUUAGAUUAGAUAGUUGGUGGGGUAAUGGCCUACCAAGUCUACGAUCUAUAGCUGGUUUUAGAGGAUGAUCAGCAACACUGGGACUGAGACACGGCCCAGACUCCUACGGGAGGCAGCAGUGGGGAAUCUUAGACAAUGGGCGCAAGCCUGAUCUAGCCAUGCCGCGUGAGUGAUGAAGGCCUUAGGGUCGUAAAGCUCUUUCGC
rnacentral:rRNA from 1 species